AGACAAUAUAAUCAAACGUAGAGAGGUAAAGCAGACCAGACACCUAACCCACAAAGACUAUUUCAUACAUCGGUGGUGCAGCACUUUAAAACACAACGGACAAACUCCUUCCUACGGGAGCUGGUGUACGGACCGGCACAGAAGUCACUGGACUGUGACCCCCAUGGCUAGAUUCUUCCAGAGCUGCAAUGUUGUGAGAAAACCUGCCAUGUACAAAUCUACAACUCAUCAUGAGAGAAUGUUCAGAAUUUACCUGCUAAAAAUGACAGUUUUCUCACACACCAGUGAAUGUUUACACAUCUCUAAAGUGGAAAUUUAAUUGCUCUUGCACUAAUAUCCUUUAAGCCUGUUAGCUUUAUCCUCUCCUUAAAAAGCACAAUCUGAGGUAUAAAUGUUGAUGUUCUCAGAUGACCGACUCCCAAAAUCUUCACACAGAAAAUAGAACAUUUCCUCUGUUCCUGAACACAAAAGUAUUCAUUCAAAACACGAUUGAGUGUUGCUGUGAGACUUUGCUAUGCUGUGAUGUUUGUUUGGAUUCAUCAGAUCUAUUUUCGCUGAUAAAAAAGACCAAAACAGUCAAUAUUUCAUCUAAAAUGUAAGUGGCUUGAACUGUAAAACCCGAGUGUAGGCCUACAGUACUUCUUAUUUAUUUAUUUAUUUAUUUAUUUAUUUAUUUAUUUAUUUAUGUUUGCUAUCUUGUAAACAUAUCGGAAUAUGACUGAAAAGACAAGAUCAGGGCUGUUUUCUUUUUUGUUGUUUAACAUCUAGAUGCAAUUGUUGUAUGCCAUCUUAACAAACUUCAAGACUAUCCAGUUUAUUAAUGAGUAACUUCUAAAAAGAAAAUGUUUAGUUGUCUUUGUAAAGAAAUGCUCACACGCAUGAAGCCACACACACACAAACAUGUUUAAAUACAUUUAUGUUGUUAAUAAAUAACAAUAAAUUGUAGUUGUAACAGCAA